UGGAGAGAGACAGUUGGGUGAGAGAUGGAGAGAGACAGUUCGGUGAGAGAUGGAGACAGACAGUUGGGUGAGAGCAGAGAUGGAGAGAGACAGUUGGGUGAGAGGAGAGAUGGAGAGAGACAGUUGGGUGAGAGAUGGAGAGAGACAGUUGAGUGAGAGGAGAGAUGGAGAGAGACAGUUGGGUGAGAGAUGGAGAGAGAUAGUUGGGUGAGAGGAGAGAUGGAGAGAGACAGUUGGAGGAGAGAUGGAGAGAGACAGUUGGGUGAGAGAUGGAGAGAGACAGUUGGGUGAGAGAUGGAGAGAGACAGUUGGGUGAGAGAUGGAGAGAGAUAGUUGGGUGAGAGGAGAGAUGGAGAGAGACAGUUGGGUGAGAGAUGGAGAGAGACAGUUGAGUGAGAGAUGGAGAGAGACAGUUGGGUGAGAGAUGGAGAGGGACAGUUGGGUGAGAGAUGGAGAGAGACAGUUGGGUGAGAGAUGGAGAGAGAUAGUUGGGUGAGAGAUGGAGAGAGACAGUUGGGUGAGAGAUGGAGAGAGACAGUUGAGUGAGAGGAGAGAUGGAGAGAGACAGUUGGGUGAGAGAUGGCGAGAGACAGUUGGAGGAGAGAUGGAGAGAGACAGUUGGGUGAGAGAUGGAGAGAGACAGUUGAGUGAGAGAUGGAGAGAGACAGUUGGGUGAGAGAUGGAGAGAGACAGUUGAGUGAGAGGAGAGAUGGAGAGAGACAGUUGGGUGAGAGAUGGAGAGAGACAGUUGAGUGAGAGAUGGAGAGAGACAGUUGGGUGAGAGAUGGAGAGAGACAGUUGGGUGAGAGGAGAGAUGGAGAGAGACAGUUGGGUGAGAGAUGGAGAGAGACAGUUGGG
rnacentral:lncRNA from 1 species